UCUCUCAUUCCUUGUAGAUGAUGAUGGAGCGAUAUUUUUUUCGCUUUUGUUCUAGAUUCUUGUUCAGAAGGUUUUCUCUACUCUCGAUUUUUCCAUCCUCCGACCUCAUUCAUCAAUUUUAUCCAUGGAACGGUUGAAACAAAAAGAAGUGGAAGGUGAACAUAAUAAUGCUAUUAUUAUUCAAGGGAUCCCAUCUUUCUAAUAUGAAGACUGAUGUUAAUGAUAAAGAUGAAAAUACUCAUCAAAACCUGAAGAAUAUCAUCAUCUGGAAAGGAUAAUGCAGUACAUGAAAAUGUCAGUGGACUGUGGGGAAACUGAUGGAAGCAUACAAUACUUGCGUUUCCCAAUUAAGAAACUCUCAAGGAGAUAGGCGUGUGAAUUAUCUGAAGCAAAUUUAUCUAGCAAACUUUACAAAGACGAAGGCAUAAAACUUAUAAAGUUAAUAUGUGUGCAUACGGUGGAUCUUUUAUUGUUUUGUGUA